GUCUGGGUCUUGCGCAAUGAAGUCCUGUGAACCUCGUCAGGUCCGGAAGGAAGCAGCGAUAAGCGGGGUGCUUCAUGUGCCGCGAGGUCGCCUGGGGACU
rnacentral:SRP_RNA from 1 species